ACUCCUACGGGAGGCAGCAGUGGGGAAUAUUGCGCAAUGGGCGAAAGCCUGACGCAGCGACGCCGCGUGAGGGAUGAAGGCCUUCGGGUCGUAAACCUCUUUCAGCAGGGAAGAAGCGAGAGUGACGGUACCUGCAGAAGAAGCACCGGCUAACUACGUGCCAGCAGCCGCGGUAAUACGUAGGGUGCAAGCGUUGUCCGGAAUUAUUGGGCGUAAAGAGCUCGUAGGCGGUCUGUCGCGUCUGCUGUGAAAACUCAGGGCUUAACCCUGAGCUUGCAGUGGGUACGGGCAGACUAGAGUGCGGUAGGGGAGACUGGAAUUCCUGGUGUAGCGGUGAAAUGCGCAGAUAUCAGGAGGAACACCGGUGGCGAAGGCGGGUCUCUGGGCCGUAACUGACGCUGAGGAGCGAAAGCAUGGGGAGCGAACAGGAUUAGAUACCCUGGUAGUCCAUGCCGUAAACGUUGGGCGCUAGGUGUGGGGCUCUUUCCACGAGUUCCGUGCCGCAGCUAACGCAUUAAGCGCCCCGCCUGGGGAGUACGGCCGCAAGGCUAAAACUCAAAGGAAUUGACGGGGGCCCGCACAAGCGGCGGAGCAUGCGGAUUAAUUCGAUGCAACGCGAAGAACCUUACCAAGGCUUGACAUGGGGUGAAAACUCGCAGAGAUGCGGGGUCCGCAAGGGCGCCUCACAGGUGGUGCAUGGUUGUCGUCAGCUCGUGUCGUGAGAUGUUGGGUUAAGUCCCGCAACGAGCGCAACCCUCGUUCUAUGUUGCCAGCACGUGAUGGUGGGGACUCAUAGGAGACUGCCGGGGUCAACUCGGA
rnacentral:rRNA from 1 species